rnacentral:rRNA from 1 species
GACGAACGCUGGCGGCGUGCUUAACACAUGCAAGUCGAACGAUGAAGCGCUGUCUUUUUGGUGGUGUGGAUUAGUGGCGAACGGGUGAGUAAUACGCGGGCAACCUGCCCCUCUGCUUCGGGAUAAGCUUUGGAAACGGGGUCUAAUACCGGAUGUGCCUGUCUGGUCGCAUGGCUGGGCGGGGAAAGAUGUUUUUCGGCGGGGGAUGGGCUCGCGGCCUAUCAGCUUGUUGGUGGGGUGACGGCCUACCAAGGCGUCGACGGGUAGCCGGCCUGAGAGGGUGGUCGGCCACACUGGGACUGAGAUACGGCCCAGACUCCUACGGGAGGCAGCAGUGGGGGAUAUUGCACAAUGGGCGCAAGCCUGAUGCAGCGACGCCGCGUGGGGGAUGGAGGCUUUCGGGUUGUAAACCCCUUUCGGCGCGGGACAAGG